rnacentral:rRNA from 1 species
UACGUAGGGUGCAAGCGUUAAUCGGAAUUACUGGGCGUAAAGCGUGCGCAGGCGGUUCGUUGUGUCCGUCGUGAAAGCCCCGGGCUUAACCUGGGAACUGCGAUGGAAACUAGCGAGCUGGAGUGUGGCAGGAGGGGGGUGGAAUUCCGCGUGUAGCAGUGAAAUGCGUAGAGAUGCGGAGGAACACCGAUGGCGAAGGCAGCCCCCCUGGGCUAACACUGACGCUCAGGCACGAAAGCGUGGGGAGCAAACAGG